rnacentral:rRNA from 1 species
CCCGCACAAGCGGUGGAGUAUGUGGUUUAAUUCGAUGCAACGCGAAGAACCUUACCUGGUCUUGACAUCCCGGAGACCCUUAGGAAACUAGGGGGUGCUUCCAUCUGGAAGAAUCUGGAGACAGGUGCUGCAUGGCUGUCGUCAGCUCGUGUCGUGAGAUGUUGGGUUAAGUCCCGCAACGAGCGCAACCCUUGCCUUUAGUUGCCAGCAGUUCGGCUGGGCACUCUAAAGGGACUGCCGGUGUCAAACCGGAGGAAGGUGGGGAUGACGUCAAGUCCUCAUGGCCUUUAUGACCAGGGCUACACACGUACUACAAUGGCCGAUACAAAGGGCAGCGACACUGCGAGGUGAAGCCAAUCCCGUAAAAUCGGUCUCAGUCCGGAUUGGAGUCUGCAACUCGACUCCAUGAAGUUGGAAUCGCUAGUAAUCGUGGAUCAGCAUGCCACGGUGAAUACGUUCCCGGGCCUU